rnacentral:rRNA from 1 species
UCUGAUGCAGCACGCCGCGUGGAGGAUGACGCAUUUCGGUGUGUAAACUCCUUUUAUAAGGGAAGAUAAUGACGGUACCUUAUGAAUAAGCACCGGCUAACUCCGUGCCAGCAGCCGCGGUAAUACGGAGGGUGCAAGCGUUACUCGGAAUCACUGGGCGUAAAGGAUGCGUAGGCUGGAAAUCAAGUCGAGAGUGAAAUCCAACGGCUCAACCGUUGAACUGCUCUCGAAACUGGUUACCUAGAAUAUGGGAGAGGUAGAUGGAAUUGGUGGUGUAGGGGUAAAAUCCGUAGAUAUCACCAGGAAUACCGAUUGCGAAGGCGAUCUACUGGAACAUUAUUGACGCUGAGGCAUGAAAGCGUGGGGAGCAAACAGGAUUAGAUACCCUGGUAGUCCACGCCCUAAACGAUGCACACUAGUUGUUGCGAUGCUAGUCAUUGCAGUAAUGCACUUAACAGAUUAAGUGUGCCGCCUGGGGAGUACGGUCGCAAGAUUAAAACUCAAAGGAAUAGACGGGGACCCGCACAAGCGGUGGAGCAUGUGGUUUAAUUCGAAGAUACACGAAGAACCUUACCUGGCCUUGAUAUCCUAAGAAUCCUUUAGAGAUAAGGGAGUGCUAGUUUACUAGAACUUAGAGACAGGUGCUGCACGGCUGUCGUCAGCUCGUGUCGUGAGAUGUUGGGUUAAGUCCCGCAACGAGCGCAACCCUCGUGAUUAGUUGCUAACAGUUCGGCUGAGCACUCUAAUCAGACUGCCUUCGCAAGGAGGAGGAAGGUGAGGACGACGUCAGUCAUCAUGGCCCUUAUGGCCAGGGCUACACACGUGCUACAAUGGCUAGGACAAAGAGACGCGAUACUGCGAAGUGGAGCAAAUCUUAAAACCUAGUCUCAGUUCGGAUUGGAGUCUGCAACUCGACUCCAUGAAGCUGGAAUCGCUAGUAAUCGUAGAUCAGAUAUGCUACGGUGAAUAC